rnacentral:rRNA from 1 species
GACGAACGCUGGCGGCGUGCUUAACACAUGCAAGUCGAACGGAAAGGCCCUGCUUUCAUGGUUCUCGAGUGGCGAACGGGUGAGUAACACGUGGGUGAUCUGCCCCUUACUUUGUUAUAAUCCUUGGCAACUGGUUCUAAUACUUGAUAUGACCAUUCUGUAGGUGGUGUGGUGGUAAGUUUAGUUUCGGUAAGGUAUGAGCUCGCGGACUAUCAGCUUGUUGGUGGGGUAUUGGGCUACUAAGGCGUCGACGGGUAGCCGGCCUGAGAGGGUGGACGGCGACAUUGGGAAGACGAUACGGCGCAGAAGCCUACGGGAGGCAGCAGAGGGGAAGAUUGCACAAUGGGAGCAAGCCUGAUGCAGCGACGGAGCGUGGGGGAUGACGGACUUCGGGUUGUAAACUACUAUGAGCCAUGACGAAGCGCUUGUGGUGACGGUAGUGGUAGAAGAAGCACCGGCUAACUACGUG